rnacentral:rRNA from 1 species
UACGUAGGGCGCAAGCGUUAUCCGGAAUUAUUGGGCGUAAAGAGCUCGUAGGCGGUUUGUCGCGUCUGCCGUGAAAGUCCGGGGCUCAACUCCGGAUCUGCGGUGGGUACGGGCAGACUAGAGUGAUGUAGGGGGAGACUGGAAUUCCUGGUGUAGCGGUGAAAUGCGCAGAUAUCAGGAGGAACACCGGUGGCGAAGGCGGGUCUCUGGGCCGAUACUGACGCUGAGGAGCGAAAGCGUGGGGAGCAAACAGG